AUUGAACGCUGGCGGCAGGCCUAACACAUGAAGUCGAACGGUAGCACAGAGGAGCUUGCUCCUUGGGUGACGAGUGGCGGACGGGUGAGUAAUGUCUGGGAAACUGCCCGAUGGAGGGGGAUAACUACUGGAAACGGUAGCUAAUACCGCAUAACGUCGCAAGACCAAAGAGGGGGACCUUCGGGCCUCUUGCCAUCGGAUGUGCCCAGAUGGGAUUAGCUAGUAGGUGGGGUAACGGCUCACCUAGGCGACGAUCCCUAGCUGGUCUGAGAGGAUGACCAGCCACACUGGAACUGAGACACGGUCCAGACUCCUACGGGAGGCAGCAGUGGGGAAUAUUGCACAAUGGGCGCAAGCCUGAUGCAGCCAUGCCGCGUGUAUGAAGAAGGCCUUCGGGUUGUAAAGUACUUUCAGCGAGGAGGAAGGCGUUGUGGUUAAUAACCGCAGCGAUUGACGUUACUCGCAGAAGAAGCACCGGCUAACUCCGUGCCAGCAGCCGCCGUAA
rnacentral:rRNA from 1 species